GAGUUUGAUUAUGGCUCAGAUUGAACGCUGGCGGCAGGCUUAACACAUGCAAGUCGAACGGAAGUUACUAGCUUGCUAGUAACUUUAGUGGCGAACGGGUGAGUAACAUUUAGGAAUCUGCCUCAUAACGGGGGAUAGCUCGGGGAAACUCGAAUUAAUACCGCAUACACCCUACGGGGGAAAGGUGGCGCAAGCUGCCGAUAUGAGAUGAGCCUAAAUCAGAUUAGCUAGAUGGUGGGGUAAAGGCCUACCAUGGCGACGAUCUGUAACUGGUCUGAGAGGAUGAUCAGUCACACCGGAACUGAGACACGGUCCGGACUCCUACGGGAGGCAGCAGUGGGGAAUAUUGGACAAUGGGCGAAAGCCUGAUCCAGCCAUGCCGCGUGUGUGAAGAAGGCCAUAAGGUUGUAAAGCACUUUAAGCAGGGAGGAAGAACUUUUAGUUAAUAGCUAAAAGUGGUGACGUUACCUGCAGAAUAAGCCCC
rnacentral:rRNA from 1 species